rnacentral:misc_RNA from 1 species
UAUUGAAGAAAGCAGCACAAGUAUUCUAUUUGCACUUUGCAUUAAAGAGACGGGCUUUUUUUGAAGAAAUUCAUGAGAAGCAGGAGCAGGUUAAAGAAUGGCUUCAAAAUCUAGGAAUAGGAGAUCAUGCGCCAGUGAUGCAUGAUGAUGAUGAUCCUGAUGAUGAGACUAUUCCCUUGCAUAACGAUGAAAGUGCUAAAAACAGAGACGUUCCUUCAAGUGCUGCCUUGCCAGUUAUUCGUCCAGCCUUGGGUAGGCAGCAUUCCAUGUCAGACAGGGCAAAGGUUGCAAUGCAAGAAUAUUUGAAUCACUUUUUAGGAA